GUCUGGGUGGCUCAGUUGGUUGGUCGUCUGACUUUGACUCAGGUCAUGAUCUCACGGUUUGUGGGUUCAAGCCCCACAUCAGGCU
rnacentral:tRNA from 1 species